rnacentral:rRNA from 1 species
UGGGGAAUCUUGCACAAUGGGGGAAACCCUGAUGCAGCGACGCCGCGUGAGUGAAGAAGUAAUUCGUUACGUAAAGCUCUAUCAGCAGGGAAGAAAGAAGACGGUACCUGAGAAAGAAGCCCCGGCUAACUACGUGCCAGCAGCCGCGGUAAUACGUAGGGGGCAAGCGUUAUCCGGAUUUACUGGGUGUAAAGGGAGCGUAGACGGCGGAGCAAGUCUGAAGUGAAAGCCCGCGGCUUAACCGCGGAACGGCUUUGGAAACUGUACUGCUAGAGUAUCGGAGAGGUAAGCGGAAUUCCUAGUGUAGCGGUGAAAUGCGUAGAUAUUAGGAGGAACACCAGUGGCGAAGGCGGCUUACUGGACGGAGACUGACGUUGAGGCUCGAAAGCGUGGGGAGCAAACAGG